UAAGGAAUAUUGGUCAAUGGACGUAAGUCUGAACCAGCCAUGACGCGUGAAGGAUGAAGGUCCUCUGGAUUGUAACCUUAUUUUAUCUGGGACGAAAACGGGAUUUUUAUCUCAAUUGACGGUACCAGAGGCAUAAGAACCGGCUAACUCCGUGCCAGCAGCCGCGGUAAUAAGGAGGGUGCGAGCGUUAUCCGGAGUUACUGGGAUUAAAGGGUGCGUAGGUGGGCUUAUAAGUCAGUGGUGAAAUCUCCGAGCUUAACUUGGAAACUGCCGUUGNUACUAGAGGUCCUGAAUUAUCUGGAGGUAAGCGGAAUAUGUCAUGUAGCGGUGAAAUGCUUAGAUAUGACAUAGAACACCAAUUGCGAAGGCAGCUUACUACACAUGAAUUGACGCUGAGUCACGAAAGCGUGGGGAUCAAACA
rnacentral:rRNA from 1 species